rnacentral:rRNA from 1 species
UUAGAUUAAGUUAUUAAGGGCGCACGGUGGAUGCCUUGGCACUAGAAGCCGAUGAAGGACGUUACUAACGACGAUAUGCUUUGGGUAGCUGUAAGUAAGCGUUGAUCCAGAGAUUUCCGAAUGGGGGAACCCAGCACAAGUUAUGUUGUGUUAUCGACAAGUGAAUUCAUAGCUUGUCAGAAGGCAGACCCGGAGAACUGAAACAUCUUAGUACCCGGAGGAAGAGAAAGAAAAUUCGAUUCCCUGAGUAGCGGCGAGCGAAACGGGAAGAGCCCAAACCAAUAAGCUUGCUUAUUGGGGUUGUAGGACACUCUAUACGGAGUUACAAAGGAAUAUAUUAAACGAAUCAUCUGGAAAGUUGAAUCAAAGAAGGUAAUAAUCCUGUAGUUGAAAAUAUAUUCUCUCUUGAGUGGAUCCUGAGUACGACGGAGCACGUGAAAUUCCGUCGGAAUCUGGGAGGACCAUCUCCUAAGGCUAAAUACUCUCUAGUGACCGAUAGUGAACCAGUACCGUGAGGGAAAGGUGAAAAGUACCCCGGAAGGGGAGUGAAAGAGAACUUGAAACCGUGUGCUUACAAGUAGUCAGAGCCCGUUAAUGGGUGAUGGCGUGCCUUUUGUAGAAUGAACCGGCGAGUUACGAUCUGAUGCAAGGUUAAGCAGAAAAUGUGGAGCCGUAGCGAAAGCGAGUCUGAAUAGGGCGUAUAGUAUUUGGUCGUAGACCCGAAACCAGGUGAUCUACCCAUGGUCAGGUUGAAGUUCAGGUAACACUGAAUGGAGGACCGAACCGACUUACGUUGAAAAGUGAGCGGAUGAACUGUGGGUAGCGGAGAAAUUCCAAUCGAACUUGGAGAUAGCUGGUUCUCUCCGAAAUAGCUUUAGGGCUAGCCUCAAGUGAUGAUUAUUGGAGGUAGAGCACUGUUUGGACGAGGGGCCCCUCUCGGGUUACCGAAUUCAGAC